rnacentral:rRNA from 1 species
GAUAAACGCUGGCGGCGUGCCUAACACAUGCAAGUCGAACGAUCCCGCAAGGGAGAGUGGCGGAAGGGUGAGUAACACGUGGGAAUCUACCUCCUCGCAGGGAACAACCUCUCGAAAGAGAGGCUAAUACCCAAAGGGUACAGAAAUGAUCAGAGUCGAAAGGCGUGAGGAGAGGAGCCCGCGGCCCAUCAGCUAGUUGGUGAGGUAAUGGCUUACCAAGGCUACGACGGGUAGGGGAUCUGAGAGGAUGUCCCCCACACUGGAACUGAACAACGGUCCAGGCGCCUACGGGUGGGCAGCAGUGAGGAAUAUUGGACAAUGGGCGAAAGCCCGAUCCAGCAACGCCGCGUGGAGGAUGAAGGCCUUCGGGUC